AGUGGCGGACGGGUGAGUAAGACGUAGGUGACCUGCCGUCAAGUGGGGGAUAACCAUUGGAAACGAUGGCUAAUACCGCAUGAGGUGGGGAUGAUGGGAAUCAUCUUCAGCAAAGCUCCGGCGCUUGACGAGGGGCCUACGGCCGAUUAGUUAGUUGGUAGGGUAAAGGCCUACCAAGGCGAUGAUCGGUAGCUGGUCUGAGAGGACGAUCAGCCACACGGGAACUGAGACACGGUCCCGACUCCUACGGGGGGCAGCGGUGAGGAAUAUUCGGCAAUGGGGGCAACCCUGACCGAGCAACGCCGCGUGGAGGAAGACGGUUUUUGGAUUGUAAACUCCUUUUCGGUGGGAAGAGCAAGGACGGUACCACCGGAAUAAGUCACGGCUAACUACGUGCAAGCAGCCGCGGUAAUACGUAGGUGGCAAGCGUUAUCCGGAAUUACUGGGCGUAAAGCGCACGCAGGUGGCUGUUUAAGUCUGACGUGAAAGCUCCUGGCUUAACUGGGAGAGGUCGUUGGAGACUGGAUGGCUUGAGGCGAGGAGAGGGGUGUAGAAUUCCCGGUGUAGUGGUGGAAUGCGUAGAGAUCGGAAGGAAUACCAGUGGCGAAAGCGGCACCCUGGCCUUGGCCUGACGCUCAGGUGCGAAAGCGUGGGGAGCGAACGGGAUUAGAUACCCCGGUAGUCCACGCCGUAAACGAUGAACACUAGGUGUCG
rnacentral:rRNA from 1 species